CAAAACCAUCUUUCGGAACACAUGGAUGUCCUAAGGCAAAAACACCCGGCGGGCCGGGUAAAUGCGCUCCGCGGGCCGCAUGUGGCCCGCGGGCCGUAGUUUGAGGACCCCUGUUUUAAGUGAUUAAAUAAAAUUGAUAUUUUAGAGGGGUAAACCUAGUUUAGGGCUUAGUGCCCUGAAGGGAAUUUGAAUUGAAAUCCGGCACCACGGAUGACAUGGCAGCACAGCAGUGUCAGGAGGCCGGGCCUGUGACUAAGGCCUGGUGUGAGAGAAUGAGGAGCCAGUGAUGUUCGGGCAUCAAACUCUACAGAGAGGUUGUAGCUGGAAGAAGUCCUGUAGUCUGGACCAAAUUAAAAAGAAAAGGAAUAACAACAGUUAAGAUGUCUCCUCUAAAAGAAGGGAGGGAUCAGUGUCCUCUGGAAGUGCCGAUAUUCGGGAAUGCAAAGGCUUGGAGGCUACCUGGAGAGGAGACAAGUGAUUGAAUUACCUGCCACUACCUCUCUGCUGGACUUUCGGGGACUGCACGGCACACACGUCACAGGGAUGUCACUGGCGACACUGCUUGCCCAAUGAAUGGAGGAGCAUAGCUUCACAGAAGAACAUAGUUACAUAGUUAGUACGGUCGAAAAAAGACAUAUGUCCAUCAAGUUCAACCAGGGAAUUAAGG